rnacentral:lncRNA from 1 species
UUCACAACUAUAACUCCUUCGGUCCCAAACCAAACCUUAGCCGGUAAUCAAAGUCACAAACAAUUUCCAUGCCUUUAUCACACUAAGCAAUUCACUUCCAAAAUCACCACGAAGCCAAUGGUCUAGAUUUUAGGGUUACUAUGGGUAGUAAUCAUAUUAACAAAAAUUAUUUUAUGGUCCCCUAGCUCAAGCCAACCAGAACCAACAAUUCCAACAUUUCUUUUCUACCCAACUUCACACCAACAAUUACUAAGGGCACCCAAAAAGGUUUCCAAGAAUGAAAGUUUCCAUAAAGGGGAAAGUUCCCUAAAAAGAGACUUUCUAAAUAUGGCAAGUUUUCCUAAACCGAAAACUACCACUUACACGAAAAGAAAAGUCGACAAGCUACCUUCACGGAUUCUGCCGGAAUUACUGCCUCGCCGGAAUCCCGAUUGUCAGAAAUACUCGUCAGAUUCCGAUGACUUGCCGGAAUUUUCACCAUAAUCUCCCUGCAUCUUCCAAUCUCCAAGUCAUCAACAAUCAUGCAGAAAAUAAAUGAUUCAAACACCAACCAACAACAACAACAACAACACAGCAGCUCCAAAAUACUAGAGGAGAUCGAGUUUACCUUCAGUUAAUCCCAUAACUCUAGUCUAGCUGCUCUCCUGCCGGAUCCCAACCUGCAGAAACCUCCAACCAUUUAUAUUUGCUGCCUCGGUCGCCAACUCCACCAAAACAACACCCCACACUUCGGUUCCUCUCAGUCCUAACUCACCCGACCUCUGCCUCAGCCCGGACCAACAAGCAACUGCUCCAUGGUCCAUCCUGACUUCACACAAAGCUCACAGAACCCAUCGAAACAUUGAAGAGCUCACCGAAAAUCCAUUGAACGUAGGUCGCCGGAGCUAGGAACCAGAAACCCAGAAAAAGGCAGAAAAGGGCUUUGCAGUUUAGAACUCGAUUCGGGAUGAAACAAACCCAGAAAAGAAGAGGAGAGGAAGGAGAAUAAGAAUCUGACCUUGGCCUGUCGAUUCGUUGCCGGAACUCACCGGAAUUUGGGAAGAACAGCCGUUGUCCUCCUCUUCCGAUCUCCGUCGAGAAUGGCUGCCUCUCGGAUUUGAGAGUUGACCUAGGUCUGGAAGGAGGAGAGGACCACUUGGUGGCAGUCUCGUCGCCAAGGGGUGGACGGACGGCGCUGCUCCGGCGAGGGACGACGAUGCACACAGAGAGAGUCGGGGAGAGGAGAGAGAUUCGGUUGGGCUCGGUCAAACCCGACUUGGGCAUUUUGACUGGGUCUGACCAGUCUUCCUCUAUUUAACAAUAGAAAUGGACAACAUGUGAUCGAUGAUUAAAUAUCAGCGACCUAGAUUUUAUAAAUUGUAGAAAAUAGUUCAAAGCUCCCAAAAAUAAUCCGAUGAUAAUGGAGAACUUGUGUCAUCGCGCACUACACCCUCGGAACCUUAAUAGAAGAAUUUAACAUUUUAAGAAAAACUCGACAAUAAAUUCAGGUGUUAAAUUACCAAAUUACCGAGCAUGGCUAACUUCCUUAGUAACUCGUAAGAUACCCAGUAAAAGGAAUAAAAUUAGGUCCGGAAUGUUACACACAAGCUCAUAAAACGCCUACCCGCUCACCACACCCAACUUGCAAAGCAACUCCAACAUGUUUUAGUUAAGCAUUAAUCAUUACCUUACCAUGUUUCAUACCACCAACGGAAAAUACUUCCAAUUAUUAUUAUUUUUUUUCUUCCAAUUAUUUCACUUGAUAUGAUUAUUGUUAAUUUGUACAAGUAGGA